rnacentral:lncRNA from 1 species
AAGAAAUAUGCGAGAGGAGAUAGGUGAGGUUUGACAGGGGCCGUGGCAGCAGCAAUGCUGCAGCUCUUCGCAGGAGAACCCAGGAGUACCAAUUGUUUCAAGGGCAGCAGACACACUGCUAUUUUUACCAAAGCCCUUGCUGUAACUGCCCAGCUCAUUAAACCUUACCACAGCGACGCUCGGAUCCUGCCUGCUCGACCCUGCUCCUCCUCGCACCUCGGCUGUCCUUAAACAACACGUUAUUCCUCGGUACCCCCGGAGAAGUUACUAGCCAGGGAAGCUUUAAAUAAUACCAGCUUCGGGAAAGAAAAGAAAGAAUUCUACAAGCGGACCUGGAGCCUGGGUAUUUGACCAAGACUGUCGGAAGUGUUUUUCUACUGAUGGCAAUAGGAACUGGACUGGGCGUCGUAUCACCGGAUCACAGAAAAUGUCUUCCACAGGAAGCCCUCCUGAACAAAAAACCUUUUCUUUGGGAGUUUAAGAGAAACAAAUGCCAGACUGGACACGAGCAGUACAGACAUUUAACACACAACAGCCGGGAACGUGGUGACCAUUUGCUGGCACAUGAUCAUAGCUGAGAAAUUCUGAAAAACUAUCAAGACCCAGUUCAUUUUUUACAGUAUUUUCUAACAGAAGUAAAAAUAGCCUUUUCUUGAGGGAAAGAGCACACUUGGGUUUGGAAUCCAAAUGUCUGAAAUUUGCUUUAAUUUGUAUCUUACAAAUAAACAUUAAUUCACUGAUUAAGUAAUUGUUAUC